rnacentral:rRNA from 1 species
UGCUUAACACAUGCAAGUCGAACGGCAGCACGGUCUAGCUUGCUAGAUGGGUGGCGAGUGGCGAACGGGUGAGUAACGCGUAGGAAUAUGCCUUAAAGUGGGGGACAACUUGGGGAAACUCAAGCUAAUACCGCAUAGAUCUCUGAGGAGAGAAGCUGGGGACCUUCGGGCCUGGCGCUUUAAGAUUGGCCUGCGUCCGAUUAGCUAGUUGGUGGGGUAAGGGCCUACCAAGGCGACGAUCGGUAGCUGGUCUGAGAGGAUGACCAGCCACACUGGAACUGAGACACGGUCCAGACUCCUACGGGAGGCAGCAGUGGGGAAUAUUGGACAAUGGGGGGAACCCUGAUCCAGCAAUGCCGCGUGUGUGAAGAAGGCCUGAGGGUUGUAAAGCACUUUCAGUGGGGAGGAGGGUUGACAGGUUAAGAGCUGGUUGACUGGACGUUACCCACAGAAGAAGCACCGGCUAACUCCGUGCCAGCAGCCGCGGUAAUACGGAGGGUGCGAGCGUUAAUCGGAAUUACUGGG